UAAGGUCAGCAAUUGUUGCAGUCUUGUUUCUUAUAGAUCUGGCAUUACAAAGGACUGACCUGAUUGGGCAUACCAGAGGGCCUUCAGUUUUCUUUAUGUUAAGUGCAGGAGCUCUGGGUAUGGGGGUCACAAAGUGAGAGUAGACAGUUCUGUCCUUCCAGACACAGGGCCGUCUUUUGGGUAUCACUUCUAUUUGAUUGUUCUUUGAGUAUGGGGGUGAGCAGGUGGUCAAAGGACUUAGAUGGUUACCGGGGGAAAUACAUUUCCGGCCUGCUCGCUUCCCACGAAUGCGCCUGUGUUUUCUUUUUAAAAUGCCAAGGGAUUGGAGAAUAGAAGCCUGUGAUGGUGUGAUAGGAACUGCAGAGCGUGGUGGGCGGAGUGAAAGAAUGAAGCUGGAGCAAUACGUAUACAUUUGGUCAUCAAUGACAGAUUACUAUAAAUUUGAACUGCAUAUGAUGAUGAGAGAGGGAGAGAAAGCAGUGUUUGUUUUUUGUUUUUUUGUUUUUCCUUUUUGUGUUUUGUUUUCCCCCAAUUCGGUAUGUGAUCCAAAAUUAUAAUGGGAUUAUGAACAAAGUUAUUGCUAUAACCUAUUGUGUAUAUUUGAAGCAAGUAAUAAAUAAAAUAACUGCUGAUUUAGUCAAUUAUCCUAGGAUAGGCAGCCUUUUGAAAAGGUGUUAGAAGCCAAUUCCUACUGUGUAGGUGUGAAAAGUCUCAGUGUGAGAGGCCUUUGAAGUAGAUUUUUUUUUUUUUUGUGGGGGUAGAAGUGAUAACAUGUCCUGGAAAUGGAUCCUGAUUUUAAACAGUGAGCCUUCAGCAAUUCAGAGCCUGAAUAUACUGAUAUUAGUAGAUUAAUGCAAUAAGUCAGUUAUUUGUAGCUCAGAGAACAGAGGUGGAUGAUGUCUAAGUGAGGGGCUGGAUGUAGCCAAAGUUAGGUUGUAAUCCACAGUACCUUAUCUGGGUAAUGUCCAAUGCAGAGUACAGCAGCUGCUAAACUGAAGGAUUUCUCAGUGGAGAUAUGCAGAGGAUUCAGUCCAGGAUUCAAUCCAGUGUGUAUCUCAGCGCAGGAAUGCAAUCCGUUGGUUUUGAUGAAAUGUCCGCGUAGAGUAGUACAAGUUCAAGAUAAGUCCUUGGAUAUUUAUGAUGAUUCAUAGGUCAGUUGUGGUGAAUUUAAGCUGUUUUAUGGAGAUGAUCAGGAGCAUACAAAAGACGCACUUUAAAAUAAGCACGGGUCAGAGCUUGGCAUCUGUCUACACUCGGCACCAUGGGAGCCAGUCCGGCAGCAGCUGAAAUCAGCCUGGGAAAGCUGAUUUUCUGAAGGAGUCCAGACAGUGAUGACGGGGGAAGCCAUGCCGAGAUGCGGUUACACAGGCUUGGCAACUGCAGCCUUGAUGAAUUUUACUUUUUUAUGGAGCAACGUGAACCUCCCUUGAUACCGACCACACAGCCUGAAAGGAGCGCAGGGCAGAGAGAGGGAGAGGUGAGCUAGGCUGUGAGGUGGGACCUGUGACGGGGAGAGAGACACACAACAGUCACUAGCUGCAAACUUUCCAUCUCACUGUCUCCUGGGACCAGUAUACACUCAUAUGUAUUAGACUCACUUCCAAUCAUGACAAAGGUACUGUAUAUAUAAUUACACCAAAAUUUUACCCAGCAAAGGUACAAGCAGAUAUUUCAUUUACUUUAAGCCACGUUACGGCGGAUGCAUAGAAGCAAAUUAUGAUUUUAGGGGGAACCUAAAAAAUAUAAUAUGAAGUUGCGUAAAUCCUUUUUGUUACUUUUUGACUUAUUUGGGUUUGUUAGCAAAGCCAAAAAGUUAGCAAUUGGGCAAA